GAUUAUACCAAAUCAGUGAACGAAUAAAAUAACUACAAUUUGGAGCUUCAAGCAAAGCAAACAGUUAACUUAAUUCUCUAGUCGACGGACUAUGUUGUUACCUGAAGAAUCAUCCUCCCCCUGCUGUUAGUUCAGCACCUUGGCCCCUCGUUCUUGGAGCAGCAUCCGAUACCAAAUCUCCAACCUGGUAGCCAAUUCUGGUCAACAAAUAGUAGCAUAGGAUACUUCUACAACUAAUUUAAAAUCAGACAAGAAGACAUGCUUACUGCCAUGUUGGCGUAUAUGACACUGGAACCACUCAUGCGAGCAUUGUCUAGAUGUAUCUCUUUGGGUUUAAAACUGUGAAUUUCAGAGAUGCACUUCUCUGAAAGCAUAAAGAUGCCAUAUCAGACUCAACACUUGGCUCAACAAAUCAUACUGUUCGGUGCAAGUAUUCGUACUGCUUUCAUGUGCAAAUCCAAGUGAGAGUGGUAUAUUGGUAACCCAUAUCUGAGUUGAAAACGGGGAAACAGAAGUGUGAUUUUAGAGGUGAAUACCUUAUCCUCCAGCUCAUGGUCAGAUGCGUAUUAGGCGGCAGCAUCCUGCUCGUAGGUUGUGGCUCCUCUUCCACCUCCCUCUGCGGCCCGUUGCU
rnacentral:lncRNA from 1 species